AAUGAUAGGUUUACUUCUAUUCCUUAUACUAAAGCUGCAUCUUUAGAAAAGAAGAUUAAUUUUUUCACCUCUUCUGUUCGAAAAUACAGUGCUUCUUUGAAGGUAGAGUAUGAGAUGGACUCAUAGAACUUGGAGAACUAACAAAAGGCCCAUGAGCAGAUGGAACAGAGGACAGACAUUUUUCUUCAUGGUAUCAGCAAAAACAGACAACAGGAAGUUGAGUCAAACAAGACCAGAUUCCCUUUAUGACAGCAACCUGAUGGUCAGAGGAUACGCAUUAAGUUUCCCAAGGUUACUGCUGCCAACAGAAGGCUAAAAGCUGUGAGGAAAGGCUGUUAUUCCUGGGCUUUAUGGGCUACCUGAGGAACUGAGGAAUUCUGUGAUUUAUGAAAUAGCUACUGUUAUCUUUUGUUGAAAUAAACACUUUAAUUAGGCCA
rnacentral:lncRNA from 1 species